rnacentral:rRNA from 1 species
UACGUAGGGCGCAAGCGUUGUCCGGAAUUAUUGGGCGUAAAGAGCUCGUAGGCGGUUUGUCGCGUCUGUCGUGAAAGCUUGGGGCUUAACCCCAAGUCUGCGGUGGAUACGGGCAGACUAGAGGCAGGUAGGGGAGAACGGAAUUCCCGGUGUAGCGGUGAAAUGCGCAGAUAUCAGGAGGAACACCGGUGGCGAAGGCGGUUCUCUGGGCAUGUCCUGACGCUGAGGAGCGAAAGUGUGGGGAGCGAACAGG